rnacentral:rRNA from 1 species
UCCAGACUCCUACGGGAGGCAGCAGUGAGGAAUAUUGGUCAAUGGCCGGGAGGCUGAACCAGCCAAGUCGCGUGAGGGAAGACGGCCCUACGGGUUGUAAACCUCUUUUGUCGGGGAGCAAAAGCCGGACGUGUCCGGCUGUGAGAGUACCCGAAGAAAAAGCAUCGGCUAACUCCGUGCCAGCAGCCGCGGUAAUACGGAGGAUCCGAGCGUUAUCCGGAUUUAUUGGGUUUAAAGGGAGCGUAGAUGGGUUGUUAAGUCAGUUGUGAAAGUUUGCGGCUCAACCGUAAAAUUGCAAUUGAUACUGGCAGUCUUGAGUACAGUUGAGGUAGGCGGAAUUCGUGGUGUAGCGGUGAAAUGCUUAGAUAUCACGAAGAACCCCGAUUGCGAAGGCAGCUUACUAAACUGUGACUGACAUUGAUGCUCGAAAGUGUGGGCAUCAAACAGGAUUAGAUACCCCCGUAGAA